CCGGCAGGGUCGACCCGGGAAAAGCGUCCUCAGCCGGUUCCCUUUCGGAGGGCAGGCCUCUGACAAGCGAGGGAGGGAGGAGGCCCGGCCAGACCCGAAGUGGGGGAGGCCUUCCUUCAGGACCCACUGCGGCAGUUGAGCUUUCGUGGGCCAGCCCCCCCCCCUUCCUCAGACCUCCGGGAACGCUCACUUUCCACAGGUCUGGCGAAGGGGGUCUUGGCCCACAAAAGCUCGCCUUAAAAUAUCGCAGCGAGUCUUGAAGGAAAGCCCCUGCCCCCUCCCUCUUUGGGUCUGGUCUGGUCUUGUUUGGUCCCUCUGGAUGUGGCCGGAUCAGCUCACACAGGUUAACAGCCUCUUCCAAAACUAAGGAAUCUAGGGGUGUGAAAGAGCCAAGGCCCAAGAGGGACUAAACAUUGGUUGGGAUUCGCCCAGGCUCGGUCUCUGAGUUGAAACCAGGUAGUGGGAAAGGUUUAUUUCAGGUGCAACCUGCCACCUUGGUCAAUAAAUUAAUAAACCUAGCAUACCAGCGACUCUUAAGGGGGAUGCCUUACCCGUUUAAUCCAAAAAACAAAAAUAUUGACUGUACAGCGAGAUCAGCUAAAGGGUGAAGUCCCUGCCCAAAUAAUUUUUACAAAAAAUUGUUCUCAAGGCUGCUGUCAUUUCUAGUCUUUUAAUAUUAUUAUCAAGUGCUGCUUAAGCUCUGAAUGGAACCAGAGUAUCCUUCAUAUGGACUUUUUCUUGUUUUGCUCAGUCUGUGCAUACUCCAGAGAAUUUUAGACCUAGGCCUUCAUUGUAAUGCAAAGCAUAAAUCGGACAGCAGCAGCAUAAAAAGUCUCUGGCUCAUACCACUCGGGACAAACCUACAGGAAAAGGUUUCAAGAAUUG
rnacentral:lncRNA from 1 species